UUUACAGUGUUACCAGUUUAUGAAUGAAAGGUUGAAGCUUUAUAAAAGUAUAUGCACGUUUGCUGCCAUUGGUCGAAUAUUUUCCCGAGAGAUACCUAUCUCUGUGCAACUAGCUGCUUAGGUCUACGUUCUGAGGUCAUUUGCUCGAAGCUGGCCUGUGGGAUUGAAGAAAAUUUGGUUCGGUUGCCAGCAAAGUAAAAUUGGUUCUGAAAUUCACGAGAUGCGGAUCCGGAGCUCGUUCGUCGUAAAAAAAUAUAUCUUCAACUUGAUUCACUUCUCAGCGAUGGAUGUUUAUAGUUCGAAAUCCAGAAAAUGUUUUUUUCUCAAGAACAGAAAAAUUUUCAAAACUCACAAUUUAUAUAGGAAUAAAUUCAAACCUCCGAGAAGCGCUUUUUUACCGAUCUAAUGCCGGAUUUCCACUCAAAGUUUUGCAUAUGCUCGAUAAUUUAUGACUUGUAUCACUCACGUGCACAGCCUCCGUUUGCACCUCCACCGUGAUGUAAAAAAAAUUGGAGUACGCUUUCUUCACCUUCUCAUCACCUACGUCUCGCGCUAAUAUACUAAAUGAUGCACCUACCUAUACGACUAUACGUAUUAUCCAAACAGUGUUCACUUAAACAUUGUUUGACGGAUUUCUGAAGAUUUUCUAGCGAUGGUAUCAUCAAAACCAAACAGGAAGAACCUCGUAAUUUGAUUGUUUAUUUCCGUGCUCCAGUUCUCGCUGCGACAGUGACACUGACAGUCUCCGGGUGGCCUAUUUUGCACCAUUUAGACUUGGGUUAUAUCAAUCAAUCAAUUAGCAACAUUUCCUUUCCUGCAGCAUCUCUGCCAAGAAUGAGUUGCGGAAAAAAGAAGUG